AACGCAAGUUAUGCCUGAAGCCUCAGUUGAGGGCAUGUUUGCUUGGGUGUCACAUGUCGUGUCGCCUCUAAACCCUUUACUAGUCAAAUGUUGCGGUGAUGGUUUGGAUGCAAAAGUUGGCCUCCUGUGGCCACAAGCUAUGGAUGGCCCAAACGAGUGCUAGGGAAGCGAAGUGCCACAACAUUUGGCGGUUGAUCUAAGCAUCGGAAGCAAUGUCGGUGGCGGCCGCACGUAUCCCCAACUUACGACCCUAAAUGUUAACCGAGACGACCUCGGGUCAAGUGGGGCUACUUGCUGAGUUUAA
rnacentral:misc_RNA from 1 species